AAUCGCUAGUAAUCGUAGAUCAGCAUGCUACGGUGAAUACGUUCCCGGGUCUUGUACACACCGCCCGUCACACCACGAGAGUUUGUAACACCCGAAGCCGGUGGAGUAACCUUUUAGGAGCUAGCCGUCGAAGGUGGGACAAAUGAUUGGGGUGAAGUCGUAACAAGGUAGCCGUAUCGGAAGGUGCGGCUGGAUCACCUCCUUUCUAAGGA
rnacentral:rRNA from 1 species